rnacentral:tRNA from 1 species
UAGCUUAAUGGUAGAGAACUUGCUUAACAUGCAUGAGACCUAGGUUCGAAUCCCAG